rnacentral:rRNA from 5 species
GGCGGCAGGCCUAACACAUGCAAGUCGAGCGCACCUUCGGGUGAGCGGCGGACGGGUUAGUAACGCGUGGGAACGUACCCUUUUCUACGGAAUAGCCUUUGGAAACGAAGAGUAAUACCGUAUACGCCCUUUGGGGGAAAGAUUUAUCGGAGAAGGAUCGGCCCGCGUUAGAUUAGAUAGUUGGUGGGGUAACGGCCUACCAAGUCUACGAUCUAUAGCUGGUUUUAGAGGAUGAUCAGCAACACUGGGACUGAGACACGGCCCAGACUCCUACGGGAGGCAGCAGUGGGGAAUCUUAGACAAUGGGCGCAAGCCUGAUCUAGCCAUGCCGCGUGAGUGAUGAAGGCCUUAGGGUCGUAAAGCUCUUUCGCCUGUGAUGAUAAUGACAGUAGCAGGUAAAGAAACCCCGGCUAACUCCGUGCCAGCAGCCGCGGUAAUACGGAGGGGGUUAGCGUUGUUCGGAAUUACUGGGCGUAAAGCGCACGUAGGCGGAUUGGAAAGUUGGGGGUGAAAUCCCGGGGCUCAACCCCGGAACUGCCUCCAAAACUAUCAGUCUAGAGUUCGAGAGAGGUGAGUGGAAUUCCAAGUGUAGAGGUGAAAUUCGUAGAUAUUUGGAGGAACACCAGUGGCGAAGGCGGCUCACUGGCUCGAUACUGACGCUGA